GACGAACGCUGGCGGCGUGCUUAACACAUGCAAGUCGAACGGUAAGGCCCUUCGGGGUACACGAGUGGCGAACGGGUGAGUAACACGUGGGUGAUCUGCCCUGCACUUCGGGAUAAGCCUGGGAAACUGGGUCUAAUACCGGAUAGGACCACUGCCUGCAUGGGUGGUGGUGGAAAGCUUUUGCGGUGUGGGAUGGGCCCGCGGCCUAUCAGCUUGUUGGUGGGGUGAUGGCCUACCAAGGCGACGACGGGUAGCCGGCCUGAGAGGGUGACCGGCCACACUGGGACUGGGAUACGGCCCAGACUCCUACGGGAGGCAGCAGUGGGGAAUAUUGCACAAUGGGCGCAAGCCUGAUGCAGCGACGCCGCGUGAGGGAUGACGGCCUUCGGGUUGUAAACCUCUUUCAGCACCGACGAAGCGCAAGUGACGGUAGGUGCAGAAGAAGGACCGGCCAACUACGUGCCAGCAGCCGCGGUAA
rnacentral:rRNA from 1 species